UACGGAGGGUGCAAGCGUUAAUCGGAAUUACUGGGCGUAAAGGGUGCGCAGGCGGUUAUAUAAGACAGAUGUGAAAUCCCCGGGCUCAACCUGGGAACUGCGUUUGUGACUGUAUGACUAGAGUACGGUAGAGAGGGGUGGAAUUCCUGGUGUAGCAGUGAAAUGCGUAGAUAUCAGGAGGAACAUCGAUGGCGAAGGCAGCCCCUUGGACCUGUACUGACGCUCAUGCACGAAAGCGUGGGGAGCAAACAGG
rnacentral:rRNA from 1 species